UACUAUACUAGCAAGCAUUAUAAACUUAGAUUAUUAAUAGAUAUGUUCUUUAAAUUUAAAGAAUUUGGCGGUGGUCUAGUCUUGUUAGAGGAACCUGUUUUUGAAUCGAUACACCACGUAGAAUUUUACUUAUUUUAUUUAGCUUAUAUACCGUCAUUAGCAGAUAAUUUUAAAAAAAUUAAUUAUUAAACUUUAAGUAAUAUUAAGUUAAAUUAGAUCAAGGUGUAGUUUAUAAAUAAGUUAAAAUGGGUUACAAUAAACUUUGUUUAUAAUGGAAUAACCGUGUGAAAGUGAUGUUAUAGAAGGAGGAUUUAAUUGUAAUUUUGAGUUUAAUAAGCCAAAGAGAUAUAAGCUCUAGAUCAU
rnacentral:rRNA from 1 species